AACUAACGCUGGCGGCGUGCCUAACACAUGCAAGUCGUACGAGAAAGCCGGCUUCGGCUGGUGAGUAAAGUGGCGCACGGGUGAGUAACGCGUGGAUAAUCUGCCCUUAAGUGUGGAAUAACGUACCGAAAGGUGCGCUAAUACCGCAUAAUGCCUGGCAACACAAGUUGUCCGGCCAAAGAAGGCCUCUGUUUACAAGCUUUCGCUUCAGGAUGAGUCCGCGUACCAUUAGCUUGUUGGUGGGGUAAUGGCCUACCAAGGCUGCGAUGGUUAGCUGGUCUGAGAGGAUGAUCAGCCACACUGGAACUGAGACACGGUCCAGACUCCUACGGGAGGCAGCAGUGAGGAAUAUUGCGCAAUGGGGGCAACCCUGACGCAGCAACGCCGCGUGAGUGAGGAAGGUUUUCGGACUGUAAAGCUCUGUCGAGCGGGAAGAAGUGUACCAUGGCUAAUAUCCAUGAUAUUUGACGGUACCGCUAGAGGAAGACCG
rnacentral:rRNA from 1 species